UGUCCAGGGAUGGGAAUCGAACCCACAAUGUUCCGCUUACCGGGCAGAUGCCAUGUCCACUAGGAUAUAUAUUUGGAU
rnacentral:tRNA from 1 species